ensembl:lncRNA
GUCAUAGGCAUGACUGAUACAGCAGUACUUGCAAGACGAGCAUACAAACAGACACGUGUGUGUUACUAUAUUCAGAAGAACUGUAUCUCCAGUUCCUUUGUUUGGUUUUUGCUGGUUCGUGAAUAAUGGCUGGACGACGUCUCGCGUUAAACUCGCCUUCAACUCCUCUCCGCAGUCAGCAACUUUCGGCCAGUCCGCAGACAGACGAGAAGAAGCUGCUGAAUGAUCUCAGUGGAUCGUCUCGUCAACUCCAACAACAAACUGCCGAUAUCAACGAGCGGUUCGCUCCACUGGAGCGUUCGGGACUCUGCGGGUUUCUGUCCAUGGAGGAGAGGAACUGACUCAAAGAAGAGGAGACGGGAGCACAAUCCCAAGAUAGCGGAAGCGGUGCGCCGUCUUCACAACUCCGAGACGAAUUGCAGGCGCUACGAACGAACCGGAGCAAGGACUAAUCUCGCCUCAUAAUGAGGCGGUGACCUCGUAUUUGCUCCGGGAAAAGUCCAGAUUUAGACGACGUCAUUGUGUCCGCCUGUAAGACGUAUUUUGAGACGUACGCAGGAGCUUCAGGUUCAGCCGGAACACUCAUUGCGGGCGGAAGCUGCGAAGGAUUCAGCGCGGAGUCGAGCGAGAAGAAAGAGGCUGCUGGAAUUGAGACUAAGUGUGCUGGCUGAUGACGAGGUGGAACUCGUUGUUGGCGGGGUCUCGGGGUGGAUUGUACGGUCGCCACACACACGAGGCGCCUGCACAACAGACCUGCCUCGGAAAACACGCCGCCAGUGACGGUCUACAACCCCGAGGAGGCAAACGGACAGUUUACUGAGCUGUAGUUUUUUAAACCGCCUUUAAGUGUGGGCAGAUCCUCACUUUGUAUGUAGUUGUUGUUUGUGUGUUGUUAAUAAAGCUCUUUCUUU